UACGGAAGGCAGCAGUGGGGAAUAUUGCACAAUGGGCGCAAGCCUGAUGCAGCCAUGCCGCGUGUAUGAAGAAGGCCUUCGGGUUGUAAAGUACUUUCAGUCGUGAGGAAGGUGUUAAGGUUAAUAACUUUAGCAAUUGACGUUAGCGACAGAAGAAGCACCGGCUAACUCCGUGCCAGCAGCCGCGGUAAUACGGAGGGUGCGAGCGUUAAUCGGAAUUACUGGGCGUAAAGGGCACGCAGGCGGUUAAUUAAGUUGGAUGUGAAAUCCCCGGGCUUAACCUGGGAAUGGCAUUCAAGACUGGUUAGCUAGAGUCUUGUAGAGGGGGUAGAAUUCCAUGUGUAGCGGUGAAAUGCGUAGAGAUGUGGAGGAAUACCGGUGGCGAAGGCGGCCCCUGGGACAAAGGCUGACGCUCAUGUGCGAAAGCGUGGGGAGCAAACAGGGAUUUAGAUACC
rnacentral:rRNA from 1 species